UACGUAGGGGGCAAGCGUUGUCCGGAUUUAUUGGGCGUAAAGAGCGUGUAGGCGGUUUGGUAGGUCCGCUGUGAAAACUCGAGGCUCAACCUCGAGACGCCGGUGGAAACCAUCAGGCUAGAGUCCGGAAGAGGCGAGUGGAAUUCCUGGUGUAGCGGUGGAAUGCGCAGAUAUCAGGAGGAACACCAAUAGCGAAGGCAGCUCGCUGGGACGUUACUGACACUGAGGCGCGAAAGCGUGGGGAGCGAACAGG
rnacentral:rRNA from 1 species